rnacentral:ncRNA from 1 species
GUUUGGUCCUAGCCUUACUAUCAGCUUUUACUUAACUUACACAUGCAAGUAUCCGCACACCCGUGAAAACGCCCUCCCCUCUCAUAACAGAACGAGGAGCCGGCAUCAGGCACAAAAAUUAGCCCACAACACCUAGCUUCGCCACACCCCCAAGGGCCUUCAGCAGUGAUAAAUAUUGUAACAUUAGCGCCAGCUUGACCCAGUUAAAGUAAAUAAGAGCCGGCCAACUCGGUGCCAGCCGCCGCGGCUACCCCGCUCGGCUCAAGUUGACAGCCUCGGCGUUAAGCGUGACCAGGGUAACAUAACAAUUAGAAUCAAACUUUAGCCAAGUUGUUAAAAACUCGCCCUUAAGAAGCCCGCACACGAAAGUUAUUCUAAAACACCCGAGCCCACGACAGUCGGGAUACAAACUGGGAUCAGAUACCCCACUAUGCCCAACCGUAAAACAUUAACUUACACCCCCCCCGCCAGGGAAUUACGAGCCCAAUCUUAAAACCCAAAGGACUUGACGGUGUCCCACCCACCUAGAGGAGCCUGUUCUAUAAUCGACACUCCCCGCUACACCUCACCACUUCUAGCUUAUCAGUCUGUAUACCUCCGUCGUAAGCUUACCGUAUGAACGCUUACAGUGGGCUAAAUGAUCCCCGUCAACACGUCAGGUCAAGGUGCAACUUACGAACUGGAAAGCAAUGGGCUACAAUUUCUAUCAAUAGAACACACGAAAAACUGCAUGAAACACAGUCAUUGAAGGUGGAUUUAGUAGUAAAAAGAAAUUAGAGAGUUCUUUUAAAUCCGGCCCUGGGACGCGCACACACCGCCCGUCACCCUCUUCAAAUGCCGUGGCAUCAGAAGAGGCAAGUCGUAACAUGGUAAGUGUACUGGAAAGUGCACUUGGAUAACAAAAUGUAGCUUACCAAAAGCAUCUCGCCUACACCGAGAAGACGCCCACAAACGGACCAUUUUGAGCCUGAACCCAAGCCCACCUUACACACAUCACUAUAACAUUACAAAAUAAAACAUUUUUUUCAUUAAGUAAAGGCGAUUAAAAAAUGACUAGGAGCCAUAACAACAGUACCGCAAGGGAACCGUGAAAUAUUAUGAAAAUUAAAGCACAACAAAGCAGAGCCCCAAUCUCGUACCUUUUGCAUCAUGGUCUAGCCAGUCCAACCAAGCAAGACGCACUUAAAGUUUGACCCCCCGAAACCAGGCGAGCUACUUUCGAACAGCUUAUGAGCUAACCCUUCUCCGUAGCAAAGGAGUGGGAAGAUUUUAAAGUAGAGGCGACACACCUAUCGAGCCUGGAGAUAGCUGGUUAUUUAAGAAAAGGAUCUGAGUCCAUCUCUAAGUUUUUUUAGCACGCUUAGGCAAAAAAUAAACUUAUUAGACAUUCAAAUAAGGUGCAGCCUAUUUGAACUAGGAAACAGCCUGCAACACAGGGUAAUGCCCACCUUCUGUGAUCAGGUAGGCUCAAAAGCAGCCAACCUUCAAAAAGCGUCCAAGCUUCAUCACUACCCAUAGAUAAUCCCACCCUUAUCCCGCAACCCUCCGCCCCUACUAAAUAACCCCAUACCCAUAUGGGAAAUAUUAUGCUAGAACUAGUAACAAGAAGAAGAGCUUCUCCUAGAUACAAGCUUAAGCCACAAUGAACCCAUCACUGGCAUUUACCGCCACUUGACCCACAGUAGCAACCCCCCCACAAGAAAAUCCUACUACCCUCGGCGUUAACCUUACACCAGACUAUCACAGGAAAGACUAAAAAGGGGGGAAGGAACUCGGCAAAUAUCAGCUCCGCCUGUUUACCAAAAACACCGCCUCUUGACAAACUAUAAGAGGUCCAGCCUGCCCAGUGACAAAGUUAAACGGCCGCGGUACCCUAACCGUGCAAAGGUAGCAUAAUCACUUGUUCUUUAAAUCAGGACUAGUAUGAACGGCCUCACGAGAGCUGUACUGUCUCCCCCCCUCAGUCAGUGAAACUGAUUUCCUCGUGAAGAAGCGAGGAUACCCCAAUAAGACGAGAAGACCCCAUGGAGCUUUAAACUCGCACCACUGCCCCCCCCCCCCACCAAGUAACCCGGGCAACAUGAUGACUAGUCUUUCGGCUGGGGCGACCACGGAGAAAAACAAAACCUCCAUGAUGAAAGGACACCCCUAAUUAAAGAGCCACUGCUCUAAAAAUCAAUAAAUUGACAUAAAUUGACCCAAAUAUUUUGAUCAACGAACCCAGUUACCCUGGGGAUAACAGCGCAAUCCAUUUCGAGAGACCCCAUCAACAAAUGGGCUUACGACCUCGAUGUUGGAUCAGGGUACCCUGGUGGUGCAGCCGCUACUAAGGGUUCG